rnacentral:rRNA from 1 species
GGCGGGAGCACUUAAUGCGUUAUUCGGCGGCGCGGAAACCGUGGAAUGGUACCCCACACCUAGUGCCCAACGUUUACGGCAUGGACUACCUUAGGGUAUCUAAUCCUGUUCGCUCCCCAUGCUUUCGCUCCUCAGCGUCAGUUACAGCCCAGAGACCUGCCUUCGCCAUCGGUGUUCCUCCUGAUAUCUGCGCAUUCCACCGCUACACCAGGAAUUCCAGUCUCCCCUACUGCACUCUAGUCUGCCCGUACCCACCGCAGAUCCGGGGUUAAGCCCCGGACUUUCACGACAGACGCGACAAACCGCCUACGAGCUCUUUACGCCCAAUAAUUCCGGAUAACGCUCGCACCCUACUUAUUACCGCGGCUGCUGGCACGUAGUUAGCCGGUGCUUCUUCUGCAGGUACCGUCACUUUCGCUUCUUCCCUACUGAAAGAGGUUUACAACCCGAAGGCCGUCAUCCCUCACGCGGCGUCGCUGCAUCAGGCUUGCGCCCAUUGUGCAAUAUUCCCCACUGCUGCCUCCCGUAGGAGUCUGGGCCGUGUCUCAGUCCCAGUGUGGCCGGUCACCCUCUCAGGCCGGCUACCCGUCGUCGCCUUGGUGAGCCAUUACCUCACCAACAAGCUGAUAGGCCGCGAGUUCAUCCAAAACCGAUAAAUCUUUCCAACACCCCACAUGCGGUGGACGCUCCUAUUCGGUAUUAGAACCAGUUUCCAAGGCUUAUUCCAGAGUUAAGGGCAGGUUACUCACGUGUUACUCACCCGUUNCGCCAACUAA